rnacentral:rRNA from 1 species
CCGGCGAACGGGUGCGUAACACGUGAACAACCUGCCCUCGUGUGGGGGAUAGCCAUGCUAACGCGUGGGUAAUACCGCAUACGUUCUCUAGGGGGAGUCCCUUGGGGAAGAAAGCUCUGGCGCACGGGGAGGGGUUUGCGGCCUAUCAGCUAGUUGGGGGGUAACGGCCUCCCAAGGCGACGACGGGUAGCUGGUCUGAGAGGAUGGCCAGCCACAUUGGGACUGAGAUACGGCCCAG